GUUGAACCCCUUAGUCCUGAAACAUCCCUGCGAAGGAAGCAAGGCCAGAGAGGUGGAGUGACUGCUCAGGAUCCCGCCAUAAAUGGAGUUUGAAAGAAUAUGCUCACCUGGGUCCUGAAUGGUCAGGGCAAGGGGCGCUUCCUCUUUCUUCCUUCACACAGCUCCUACUACCCGCUUCAAGCCAGACCUCCCUGCGUUGUGUUUUAAAGAGAGCAGUUACCAGGCUCGAAGUUGGAACAACAGUGCCUGGAACAGCUCCAUCUUCACAGUGUCUCCCCCAGGACCCCGUGCUGGGUGGGGUAAGGGGUCCUUCCCUAUCUGGGCUGCUCAAGGCUGAGGCCAGAGUGGCUACCACAAGCUACAGCAGAGAGGCCGCCCGCCGCCCAAGACCAAGGCUGGAGUCAUUCUGCCCCCUGGUGGUCAGAGACCACAUUACAGUAGGAGUGCGUCACCCACCAGACCCCAACCCGGCUUGUAGAAAGCUGGUGCUGCACACCCACACAGCUGUGGCUCACACCUGAAGGCGACUUGACAGGGGUCUUGCUGUUCUGAGGCUGCAUGCCCUCAAGACGAUGCUUUUUCCCAAUGGAGCCAGUUAGAAUUGUUAAAAGCCUUGGUACUUGGGGAACCAGAGCUAUGACUCACACCUUAGCCAAACUCGCCAUUAGCUGGUGAGCCUGUCUUCUCCUCAGAGGCUGCUUCCAGAGUGCUAAAAUUGGAGUCAACAACACGCCCAGUUCCCAGCAGGCCGAUGCUGAGUCUUAGCUGCUCCUGGAUGUCAACCUUAGUGCCCAGGGCACUGAAGAGGACAUGGAGGGUUUUGAGCUUGUGCCCGAUUGUCUCAAGCCAAUGUUCUUCCCUGCAUGUUAAAGCAGGGCACGGAGGAGGAGCACCUGCUUUGGAGUAAGCAUGCCUAGAAGGGGAGCCCUG
rnacentral:lncRNA from 1 species